UCAAUUAGCAUACAACCACGAAAAGGUGAAGUCCUAUUUCCAUGAAAGGAUGUGGGUCUGUGUGUCUGAUCCUUUUGACCCAAUGAGGAUUUCUAGGGCUAUUCUUGAAGCCCUCCAGAAAGAGUCUUCUGGUUUCCAUGAUCUGGAAGCUGUACAACAAAAAAUUUGCACACUUAUUGCCGAUAAGAAGUUCCUACUCGUGCUAGAUGAUGUUUGGACUGAAAACUAUGAAUUGUGGGAACAAGUAGAGAGUUCUCUCAAGGGUGGGGCACCGGGAAGUAGAAUUUUGGUGACCACACGAAACGAAAACGUUUCUACAAUGAUGGGAACCACGUACAAGCACCCCUUGGGAGAAUUGUCCAAGGAGCAAUGUCGGUCAUUGUUCAGUAACAUAGCCUUUUACGGAAGGAGUAGAGAAAAAGUUGAAGAACUAGAAAACAUUGGCAGGAAAAUAGCAGACAAGUGUAGGGGCUUGCCUCUUGCUGCAAAAGUUUUAGGGAGUCUCAUGCGCUUAAAAGAUAAUAAAGAAGAUUGGGAGAGUAUUUUGAAUAAUGAAAUAUGGCAACUUGAUGUGAUUGAGAAACAUCUUUCCACUCCUUUAUUGUUGAGUUAUUAUGAUUUAUCCCCUGCUGUUAAACGCUGCUUCUCAUAUUGUGCUGUCUUCCCAAAAGAUCAAAUCAUUAGGAAAGAUAGAUUGAUCAAGUUGUGGAUGGCAAAUAGCUAUCUCAAUUCUAGAGAAAGUAUAGAGAUGGAGAAAACAGGUGGAGACUACUUUGAAGACUUGGUGUCACGGUCACUUUUCCAAGAUUUUGGUAGAGAUGAUGAGGGCAACAUAAUAUCGUGCAAGAUGCAUGACAUAGUGCAUGAUCUUGCCCAAUAUUUGACCAAGAAUGAAUGCUUCAUUCUGGAGAUUGAUGAUGAAAAGGAAGUGAGGAUGGCUUCCUCCUUCCAAAAGGCUCGUCAUGCAACCUUAAUUAGUGCACGAAGGGUUGGAUUUCCCAGCACUAUCCAUAAUUUGAAAUAUCUGCACACAUUGUUUGCUGCACAUCUGGUCAAUUCCUUCACUCCUCAACCCCCCACCUAAUUUAUUCAAACAUUUGGUAUGCCUUAGGGCAUUAGACUUGAGUGUGAAUGAUUUUUUGGGGGAACUGCCGAGGAACUUGGGGAAAUUGAUACAUCUGAGGUACCUUAAUAUAUCAAAUAAUGAGUGGUUGACGGAAUUGCCCGAAACAAUUUGUGAUCUAUAUAAUUUGCAAACUUUAGAUGUUUUUGGAUGUAGACUCCUUGAAAUACUACCUCAGGGGAUGAGAAAACUAAUUAACCUGAGACAUCUUGAAUGGGAACGCAGUAGAGUAUUGAUGUUGCCAAAAGGAAUCGGGAGAUUGACCUCACUUCGGACAUUAACUGAGUUUCCUAUAAUUGUUGAUCAUUUUAGACGUGAUGUAUGCAAAAUAGGAGAACUGAAAAACUUAAACAGCCUCAGGGGAGGUCUUGUGAUAAGUGGGAUAGCUUAUGUGAAAGAUGCAGAGGAGGCUGGCGAAGCAGAAUUGAAGAAUAAGAAACACCUCCAUCAUUUGGAACUAGAGGAUUUUGGGCGGCUUGGCUCAGCUGCUUCAAAAGGUGUGGCUGAAGCUCUACAGCCUCAUCAAAACUUGAAGUCUUUAAAAAUAAGUAAUUACGAUGCUGCCGCCGAGUUCCCCAGUUGGAUAGCGGCCUCAUCGCUGGCCCAAUUGAAAAAGCUUGAAAUUGUGUAUUGCGCACAGGUUACAUGUUUGCCUCCAUUGGGGGAACUACCUCUCCUUGAAAUCCUGAUAAUAAAGAAUAUGAACAGAGUGAAAUACGUGGGUGGUGAGUUUUUGGGAUCUUCUUCAACAACUGCAUUCCCAAAGCUGAAGCAACUCAUUUUUUAUGCUAUGAAAGAGUGGGAAAAGUGGGAAGUAAAAGAAGAAGAUGAAGAAGAAGAAUGGAGGUCAGUAAUGCCAUGUCUCCACUCCUUGAUCACAUGUGAAUGCCCUAAGCUGGAAAGCCUGCCCGAGCGCCUGCUCCAGAUUACUGCACUACAGAAACUGUUUAUCAUCGACUGUCCUACUGUGCGAGGAGGGAUCGAUUUGUCCAAAUUAUCUCAUAUUUCACAAGUUCAGUUUAAUCGGCUGUUGUGAUAGCAUCGCUAGCUCUAGCUGCAUGCACUCCAGAGAGUGCAAGCCUGACUCCCUCCGUCCAAAGGAGUGCAUCUCAUGCUGGAAGAAAUCAACUAUCAUGCUCCCAAGAGAUGAGACGAAUAAAUUUUUUAUCAUUCCACUGGGUUUUCUGAUGAAUCCAUGUCAAAUUAUGAUGCAUGUGUACUAUGAUAUCCAAACUCUGGCAAGUGGUCCAAAGCUGAUUAAUUAUAAACAGAUAUUUUUCCUUGUACUACUCCAUAGUUUCUUUGUAAUAAGCUCAUUGCCUGUUAUCAGGUUUGGAUCAUGAAACAAACUAUUACGUAUAUAUGUUUGAAUAUUGGAUUGGGCACAAUUGCAUUAA